UCUUAAUACUUUUGGCAAAUAUAUUGUACAUGAUUUUUCUAUACCUAUGUUUCAUUCACAAAUAGCAGUAAGUAAGCAUAGACAAAAUAGCAUCUGAAAUGACGUUUGCAUAAAUGUUAAAAAACUCCAAGAGAAGUGCUGUCGUUUGUUAGUUUUCUUCUUUUUGUUUUGUUUAGUAACUAACAGUAAAACGAUUGCGUAUUUGCGUCAGAAUAAAUAAGAGCGAGUGAGUUAUUAAAUAUUUCUUAGGAACUAUGUACGUCUUUACGUCAUUGAACACCGUUAUUAUAUAUUGGCUCGCGAAUAAAACGAUAAUCGUGAUAAUGGAACUUGCACUAUCACUCGAACGUAUCUGAAAACUUACAUAUCUUUAACUAUAGCUAUACAAUUUAAUUUAAUUUGAAAUCAGAAAUAAACGAAGUUACGAUAACGGAAUUUACGUGUGAUGCUACUCAAUUGAUUUUUAAAAGUUAAUGUGCAAGAAAAUUGUCAUUUGUAAUUGUUAGAUCUUUUUUCGUUAAAGCUAACUUUCAAAUUUUUUCAUUUUUAGAUUAUACGACAUAUAAAGAAUGUUCUUGUAAACACAGAUAGAAAGACUUUCAAAUUUAAUUGAAGCUAUGAUAUUUAAAAUCGUAAAUUUAUUUACAACGUUAUUAUUUAUCACACACUGAGUAUGUGAACGCGACAGUCAAAAUAAACAUUUCUAUUUAAUAAUAUUCACAAGUUCUACUAAUAUUUUGAUCAACUUCAAUGCGCCUAUAGUUAUGACGAAGCUUCGAUAAUACGAAUUAGCAUAACGAUAAAAGAAAGCAUAGGAUCAUUGAAUCUCUUUUGGCAUAGAACUUCGAUAAUACCACUUUAAUAUGCUAAGGAUUAAAAAACCUUGAUUUAUAUUACAAUGUCACAAUGAAAUUUCUCUAACAAUUAACCUAUUGCUAUUGCAAAUUCAAUUUUCUAUUUAAAUAUUUAAUCGCCAGGGUAAUUAACAACCGAUCAUCGAUCAGUCUAACAAGUUCUUAAAAAUUUCAUCGAAUCAUCACCGAAGCUUAAAAAAGUGUACCCAUGGAGCUGCAUAGAAAAAAUUAAACCAAUUAACCCGGACGAGUACCAGAGCACCGUCAAGAUUUUUACGAAGUGGCACAAAUUUCAUCAGUAAACAGAUAAAUCAAAUUCUGCUGUACAAACGAGCACUUAUCGUUCUUCAAAAAAUUCGUUUGAUCUUUCCCCGCAAUCCAGUGACCUGGAAUCGAACUAAAAAAAAGAAGAAACAAGGAAAAACUAGCAAUAGAAAAAAAGAGUAAAAAAAGAGCAUUUUUAGAAAUCUAGUUGGCAAUUAAUUUAGCUCUCUAAAAUCCCAUCGAGAGUGCCCUCCGCGGCCUCCAAAUCGAUCCAGGGUCUAAAGUCUAAGGAUCGGUUUCAGGGGUUCGAUGAUGUGCGUAUCGUGUGUAUAUACAGCACACGUAACGCGCACGCUCGCGUGUUUCCGUUUCUUCUUGUGGCGAAAACGCGCGCGUGCGCGCGUGCCAAAGGAAGCCCGAUCGCGGGGAGAACGAUCAUCUCUGACCCCGUAAUCCAUGACCAAUCUCGACACAACUUUUCCAAUUUAGAGGCCAGCAACGGCCCGAUACUCAGCCAAGAACGUUCGACGUUAUCGUCCUCUUAUUGUUGCUCUAAUUCCGGGCCCCUUUCCGAAACUUGCGGCGAUCUUCGCCUGGUAACAGUGGAGAUCGCAUCGAGACACACUAUCUGUGGUAAUCGAGAAUACUGCAAUAGGGAGAAUUAAGCGAGAAACUCGAGAUACAGGAAGUUAAACGGUAUAGGGACUUGGCAGUAAGCUUCGCACUUCCUUCGUAGAAGAUGGCGACACUGAUUAUUUUUGGUAUUUUGGUUUCGUCUGAUAAGAAAGGAUGUAGAUAGCGUUAUUGUGCUCUUUGUCUCAUUGUUGGGUAAUGGUUAAAUGGCAUUACUCGCAAUUGUGUAGAGAUUUUAUUGUAGUGUAAAUAUAUGUUAUUUUACUGUAGUACCGCGUGGUUUUGUGAUUGAUUUCUUUGUUUCAUAGCCAAUUAACACGUUCGGUAGUGUUACAUGUGUAUCGUAUAUGAUCGUUUAUGAAAAUUAUUGUUACUAUUAUUGAAACAAUUUAUGUUCUUAUAUGUAGUGAUACAUCGAGCAACAAUAAUUUUCUUAUGAUAAAACGUAUUAGUUUCCAGAAAUACUUGAAUAGAUACAAAGGAAACAAGUUAUAUUAUCUUAUCUUUUCACUUUGUAGGUUAUGUGUAAAGUUACAAUGUAGAUGACUACAGGUCGUAUGAUUUCUGAUUGGUGUUUGAUAAUAACAUAGAACGCUGCAAUUAAAAUUGCGAAACAACGCGGUACAACGUGAUUUAACAAUUUAAAGUACUUUAUUAGACAUUAACGGAAAAUUACGUGUUUGGUUGUUCGCAGUUGGUUUGGCAUGAUUGGAUAACGUAGUGUUAUGAUACAUAGCCAUGUACGAUAUUGCGUAGACAAUGAUUCACCUCGUGUUAUUCAAGACUAUAGUACUACACGAUCAAUGUCAAUUUACAAGGAAUGUUGAAUUACGUAACAGAUUCUGCUAUGCAAGAAACGUAGUACUACGUGAUCGAUUGAGUUCCGUUGGAAGUGUUAUGUAUUCGACUUGAUCAAUAUUGUUCAGAGAAGAUGUAAUACUACGUAAUCAAUCUCUUUUUGCAAGGGAUAUUACACCACUUGGAAAACAAGUGGUCAAGUGCACAAGCAUCGUGCUUCGACAAAUGUAUAAUUCAUAGUACCAUAAAUUUUUCUUUUAAGAAAAUAGUAUCCAUACCAUUGUCAGCAUCAUUACUACUUAACACUGUAAAGCAUUAAUUCGUAACGAAAACUUGUACUUAUCAUUAUUAUAGUGAAUUUACAGUGAAAAAAAUGUGUCCGUAACAAUUAAUUUAUCACAUUGUAACCUUUCUCCUUUAGAAAAUGGUAUCAUUUACUUACAUUUAUAUUUUUCUACAUUAGAUUAAUUUGCAGCGUUCUUUCUUUGUUCUUCUUUUCGAGAUAAUACAGUUUAUAUCUUUCAAUUCAAAUCAUUCACAAUAUUACAUAAAAAAUAUAAUAUGGUAUUUCACUAAUUUAAUACCUAUAUACUAAAAAUACUUAUUUUUCUGUUCAAAAUACUUGGAAUGUCACGUGAAAGAAGCAGUACUACAUUUUAAUAUGUAACCUUUUUAAUAGGAUCUACGCUUUUAUAAUCGAUAGAAAUGAAUAUUUCUUUCUACGAACCAUAAUACAUAUUGUAGUAAUGUACGUAAAGAAACUUCCUUAUAAUAAACAAACAGAACUGACCAAUUCGAAAUCUUUUAUCAAUGUCAAACCAUUAAAACACUGUAAUAGAAUUUAAUAUAGAAACCAUAAAAAUACGUUUUCCUUGGGAUGGUCAUAGCAUAAUUUCGUUGCGAGACAACCGUUGAUUUCACAGAUAGCGUGUGUCAAUGCCUACAUAGGUCUCAAUAACGAGACGACAGAACAGCAACGAAUACCUCCAUUAUAUCAAAACCGCGGUUGUCUGAAUAUCGGGCAAUCACGGUGCGUGUAUCAUCGAACACGAAAUCGAAUGGCGAUGGGAAUCGUGUCCGGUAACGUUUGGUUGAUCAAAGGAAUGCCGAAACUUCGGUUUCGCUUGUCGUCCGUCCGAUUGUUCGAUACGGCAAGAAGCAACGGUACAACGCGUGUAUAGCAUCAUGACGUGCGUAAUGUUCCGUAAUGCUUCGUUGUAAUCCCCGAACUCCGAAGGAAUUCAGAAAUCGUCAUUCGAUCUCGACAUACAAGCGUACAGAAUCCGGCUAACUAACGGCUGGUAGAAUGGAAACGGCGCGUGUCGUUAUUAUUUUGGUGAUAUGUUAUACAUGAUGGCUGUGACAAGUCACAGUGUAUUGUUCUCUGCGCCUACUGGACAAAGUACGGGUAAAAAAAAAACAGGGCGAUGAAAAAACUUACUGCUAGACCACAACUAGUUUCAAUACAUUACCUGGCAUUAAAACAAACGAAACAAAGGAACAAACUAACAAACAUCAUAUAUGGUUCAUGCGGUACACAUACGCGCACACGCGCGCGCGCGCUACACACGACGUAGAGACACGUGGACGUGGACACGUGGACACACAACGGCACACGACCAGAGAAUAUCGCGAUUUGUCGCUUUUUUUCUUCUUCUUCUUUUUUAUUUUUCUUUAGUUUAUUCGUUGCAUUUUGUUGCGUCACACAACGUGAGAUAUACACACGUGUGUAUAAUAAUGCGCGUGUAAUUAUUUACACGUAUAUACUAUUCACGCAUGGGAGCGCGCGCAUAGUGGAUAUGCAUACGCAUGGUUUGAAUCAUUCAGAAAACAAAAGAAAAAAGGAAAAAGAUAACGAGACACAAACGAACAAAGGAACGAUAUACAUAUACAUAUACAUUGAAUUAAAACUGAACAUCCAACCUUCUGUUCUACAAGAGACAGUCACAAGUCCAUUUAAAAAAGACGAAAGCGUUUGUCGUAACACAACUCUUCACGGUAAUAAAUGAACAGCUAAAUGGUCAUCAAUGGUCAAAAGUACAAGUAACGAUAUGGCGGUUAUUGUAUAUUGUACAAGUACGCGACGCGUGCGCGUGUUUGACACAGGGCGCGCCUCGAUCACGUCGAAAGUGGCGUGCUGGUGGACGCGCGCGCGCGCCGCGUACAGGUGUGGCAACAGCGUUACUAAUCAACAAAAUUUAAAGUACACAGAAACCAAGGAAUGACACAAAAAAGAAACAACGCAACGACAACUGAACAAACCGAAAGAAAGGACGAGGAGAAAGAAAAAAUGGAAAAAGAAUCGAGGGACAAGGGUCGAACAAACGAACGAGGGAACAAAAAUAAAACUGAGGCACUGAGACGAUGGGGUAAUCGAGGAGGACGACCGAUCAUCAAUCGGGGCUGAACGUUCUCCAGGACGUUCAGACGGCUAUAUCGCGAUGGACACACCGGUAAGAACGAAAGAACGAAACCAAAAAUUCGAGGGAGACAAAAUGACAAAAGCAGAACCGAUUGAAACAAAAAGCCAAAAAGAAGAAAAAGAGGGAAAGAAUAAAGGGACGUGAUAAACUGACGGACAAAAAUAAAAGAAAAAAGAAAGAAAAAA